CAAGCGCCCGCACCGCGCCCGCACCGCGCCCGCACCGCCCGGGCACUGCUGGGGCACUGCCCGGGCACCACCGAGAGGCUCCGGCCGGGGAGGGGCCGGGCACGGGCAGGGCAUGGCCGUGCGAAAGGUGUGAACGGGUUUUUGGAAGGAAACGUCUAAAUUGGAUGAAAAACCUUUAAUGCCGACAGCCGGAGCAGCUGGAAGGACAAAUAUAGCCGGAGAGGAGGAGGAGGAGGAGGAGGAGGAGGACGGGGACGCGGUGGGAGGUGGUGGCCGUGCCGAGAGCGACACCUGGUGACAGUCACCCCCCCCACCACCACCCCGGACACGCGUGUGAACACGCGUGUGCCAGCGCAGGUGUGCGCGCACCUUGUCACACGCGUGUGCCCGCCCGGGAGGUGCGAGGCCUUCUCCAGGAUGCUCCGGAAUGCGAUGGACGGCGCCACCACCGCAACCCCAGCGCCGUGAGGGCACGGCGAGGAUGAGGAGGAAGAAGAGCGGUGCCAGAUGCCACAUUUCGAUCCCAUGGAGCCGGGAAGGGUGGGAUGGAGCGGGCAGGAACGCCGGCAUGGAGCAAACACGGGAAUAAUCCAAGCGGGGAAGAGCCGAACGCCGGAGAGAUUUACAGCGGGCAGCCCCCCGGCCAUUUGGCACGGCAGCUGCUGCCGAGGAAGUUCAAUGCCAAAAUAAAUUAA